UUUGCAAUACCUAAGCCUGCUGCAAACUGUGGCAAAUUUCCUCAACCUUGGAGUCAUGAAGAUGGUAACUUGUCGACUGAUGCAGAGAAGUGAAAAGGGGUAAUGGCUGCCUGUGAUCUGUCUCCAUGCGCUUGUGAAAUACAAGCCACAGACUCUCUGUGUUUGGUUGUUAUCAGCACACAACAAAAAUCCUGGUCAUCCUUCAGCUUGAUGCAAGUUAAAAAGAUAUUUUCAUGGAAGCAGAGAGGAAGCCAAGAGGACAUCCUACAUCAUGAAUCCAUAGAGCCCAAACUCACUUAACUCUGCUUCCAAGGUGGCAUGGGUCAGGCAUCGCUGUCUGGCAUGUGUUGACUGCAAAGAUGUCACUCAGCUCCAGGAGAUCAAUGGGGCUCAGUGUGGAGUGAAGCAUUACUAGCAAGAACUUUCUAAAAACAAUACCCAAAGGAAUUGGAAAUUCCCCCUUGGAGUGUCAGCAGAUGCCCAGAAGGCAUCUCCAGGGACACUUAAUUCUCUGGAUCCUACCCAACUUAUACUGAAGUUAAUUGAAAAAACUCCCAUUGACUUGAAGAGGUUUUGGAUCUGGCUCAAAAGGCUCUUAGUGGCAGCAGAUUACAAGAAGGAACCCCACUGCGCAAGUUCAGCCAUCUG